AUGUACUUGAGACUGAGCUGUGUUUUUAUUGCUGUUCUUUUAAAAGGUGUCCAGAGUGAGGUGAAGCUGGAGGAGUCCAGAGGAGGAUUAGUGCCACCUGGAGGGUCCAUGAAACUCUCUUGUGCAGCCUCUGGAUUCACUUUCAGUGAUGCCUGGAUGGAGUGGGUCCGCCAGUCUCCAGAGAAGGGGCUGAUGUGGGUUGCUGAAAGUAGAAACAAGGCUAAUAACUAUGCAACAUAUUAUGCAGAGUCUGUGAAAGGCAGAUUCACCAUCUCAAGAGAUGAUUUCAAAAGUAGUAUCUACCUGCAAAUGAACAGCUUAAGAGCAGAAGACACUGGCAUUUAUUACUGUACACAGCACAGUGAGAAGCCUUCUUUGUGGUCCUAG